CCCUUAGAUGUCCGGGGCUGCACGCGCGCUACACUGAAGGAAUCAGCGUGCUAAAACUAUUGUCGAAAGGCAUUGGUAAACCCAUUAAAAUCCUACGUGAUUGGGAUCGGGAAUUGCAAUUAUUUCCCUUGAACGAGGAAUUCCCAGUAAGUGUGGGUCAUAAGCUCGCGUUGAUUACGUCCCUGCCCUUUGUACACACCGCCCGUCGCUGCCCGGGACUGAGCCGUUUCGAGAAAAGCGGGGACUGCUGCUGUCGGGGCUUUCGGGCCUUGGCUUCGGUGGAAACCGCUUUAAUCGCAGUGGCUUGAACCGGGCAAAAGUCGUAACA
rnacentral:rRNA from 1 species